UACGUAGGGGGCAAGCGUUGUCCGGAAUCAUUGGGCGUAAAGAGCGUGUAGGCGGUCCGAUAAGUCCGCUCUGAAAGCCCGGGGCUCAACCCCGGGAGGCGGGCGGAUACUGUCGGGCUAGAGUCCGGAAGAGGCAAGUGGAAUUCCUGGUGUAGCGGUGAAAUGCGCAGAUAUCAGGAGGAACACCGAUGGCGAAGGCAGCUCGCUGGGCCACACCUGACGCUGAGACGCGAAAGCUAGGGGAGCGAACAGG
rnacentral:rRNA from 1 species